rnacentral:rRNA from 1 species
GACGAACGCUGGCGGCGUGCCUAAUACAUGCAAGUUGAGCGCUGAAGGUUGGUACUUGUACCAACUGGAUGAGCAGCGAACGGGUGAGUAACGCGUGGGGAAUCUGCCUUUGAGCGGGGGACAACAUUUGGAAACGAAUGCUAAUACCGCAUAAAAACUUUAAACACAAGUUUUAAGUUUGAAAGAUGCAAUUGCAUCACUCAAAGAUGAUCCCGCGUUGUAUUAGCUAGUUGGUGAGGUAAAGGCUCACCAAGGCGAUGAUACAUAGCCGACCUGAGAGGGUGAGCGGCCACAGUGGGACGGAGACACGGCCCAAACUCCUACGGGAGGCAGCAGUAGGGAAUCUUCGGCAAGGGACGAAAGUCUGACCGAGCAACGCCGCGGGAGUGAAGAAGGAUUUCGGAUCGUAAAACUCUGUUGGUAGAGAAGAACGUUGGUGAGAGUGGAAAGCUCAUCAAGUGACGGUAACUACCCAGAAAGGGACGGCUAACUACGUG